AUGGCGUUGCUAGGCGCCACCCUCGGCCGGCCACCAUUGUCGUGUCCCUCCACCCCCAGCUCGCUGCCAUUCAGGCCUAACUGCUUCCAGUUCCCUCGUCCGUGCCACACAGGCGUGGUGGCACACCGGCGCAGAGCGUACCCAAGGAUCGAGGCCACGGCGAGGCACGGCGCGCGGAAGGAGAACGCCAAGGUCAGAAACCGCCGGCUGCAGAAAAAGUACAAUGGCACGGCGACCAAGCCCAGGCUGUCAGUCUUCUGCUCCAACAGGCAGCUCUACGCCAUGCUCGUCGACGACCACGGCAAGAAGAUCCUCUUCUACGCCAGCACCCUGCAGGAAGACAUCUGCGGCGACCCUCCAUGCAGCACCGUGGAGGCCUCUCGGAGGGUCGGGGAGGAGCUGGUCAAGGCGUGCAAGGAGCUGGACAUCUCCGAGGUCUCGUGCUACGACCGCAACGGCUUCGCUCGAGGGGAGAAGAUGAUGGCGUUCGAGGAUCCGGUCGCGCAGCACGGGUUCCUGCCCAGAUAG
rnacentral:rRNA from 1 species